UACGGGGGGGGUAAGCGUUGUUCGGAAUUACUGGGCGUAAAGGGCUCGUAGGCGGCCAACUAAGUCGGACGUGAAAUCCCUCGGCUUAACCGGGGAACUGCGUCCGAUACUGGAUGGCUUGAGUUCGGGAGAGGGAUGCGGAAUUCCAGGUGUAGCGGUGAAAUGCGUAGAUAUCUGGAGGAACACCGGUGGCGAAGGCGGCAUCCUGGACCGACACUGACGCUGAGGAGCGAAAGCGUGGGGAGCGAACAGG
rnacentral:rRNA from 1 species